GAUGAACGCUGGCGGCGUGCCUAACACAUGCAAGUCGAACGGAAAGACGCGGAGUUUGUCUGUUUGUCGUUAGAGGAGCGCGGGAGUGAAACAUGUGUAUACUCUCCUUAUAUGUCUGGGAACACCUCGGGAAACCGGAGCUUACACCAGCUGAUCUUCUGAAGCGCAUGGUUCAAUAGUGAGUGUCGGCGUUGCUGCCUCUUAUCGCUGGUUAUAAGCUGGAUUAGCUAGUUGGUAAGGUCACGGCUUAUCAAGGCGACGAUGCGUAGGCGAACUGAGAGGAUGAUCGGCCACACUGGAACUGAGACACGGUCCAGACUCCUACGGGAGGCAGCAGUAGGGAAUCUUCGGCAAUGGGCGAAAGCCUGACACAGCAACGCCGCGUGUGUGAUGAAGGUCUUCGGGUCGUAAAGCUCUGUUAUUGGGUAAGAACAGAUUUGUAAUUAGACGUGCAGAGCUUGACGGUACCGGAUCAAGAAGCAACGGCUAACUACGUG
rnacentral:rRNA from 1 species